rnacentral:rRNA from 1 species
GCAUAUCAAUAAGCGGAGGAAAAGAAACCAACAGGGAUUGCCCUAGUAACGGGGAGUGAAGCGGCAACGCUCAAAUUUGAAAUCUGGCUUCGGCCCGAGUUGUAAUUUGUAGAGGAAACUUUUGGUGAGGCACCUUCUGAGUCCCUUGGAACAGGGCGCCAUAGAGGGUGAGAGCCCCGUAUAGUCGGAUGCCGAUCCAAUGUAAAGUUCCUUCGACGAGUCGAGUAGUUUGGGAAUGCUGCUCAAAAUGGGAGGUAAAUUUCUUCUAAAGCUAAAUAUAGGCCAGAGACCGAUAGCGCACAAGUAGAGUGAUCGAAAGAUGAAAAGCACUUUGAAAAGAGGGUUAAAUAGCACGUGAAAUUGUUGAAAGGGAAGCGUUUGUGACCAGACUUGCGCCGUUCCGAUCAUCCGGUGUUCUCACCGGUGACUCGGGGCGGCUCAGGCCAGCAUCGGUUUUGGUGGGGGGAUAAAGGUUCAGGGAACGUAGCUCCUCCGGGAGUGUUAUAGCCCUGGGCGUAAUGCCCUCGCUGGGACCGAGGUUCGCGCAUCUGCAAGGUGCUGG